CUUGACUCGCACGUCAUCUGGAAUGGCAGACGCAUAAGCAGCCCGCCACUUCUGGAACUGAGCGUCAGUCGUGACGCGGUGCAAGUUGGCCACGAACUUCUUGCUGUGCACUAUGGAGCCUCCCCAUAAAUACAAAGGGACCUGAGAACUUGGAGUCUUGCUACCAUCUCCGGAAGACAUGGUUGAUCAACAAGUAGCUGCAAAAAGAAAAAAAUUCUACAUGUUAGAAUGCAAAAAACUCAAGAACUCAAGAAGAAAGGAAAAAUUCUC
rnacentral:lncRNA from 1 species